AUACGGAGGGGGUUAGCGUUGUUCGGAAUUACUGGGCGUAAAGCGUACGUAGGCGGAUCGGAAAGUAAGGGGUGAAAUCCCAGGGCUCAACCCUGGAACUGCCUCUUAAACUCCCGGUCUUGGGUUCGAGAGAGGUGAGUGGAAUUCCUAGUGUAGAGGUGAAAUUCGUAGAUAUUAGGAGGAACACCAGUGGCGAAGGCGGCUCACUGGCUCGAUACUGACGCUGGGGUACGAAAGUGUGGGGAGCAAACAGGAUUAGAAACCCUAGUAGUCC
rnacentral:rRNA from 1 species